UAUCCGUUGAACGCUGGCGGCAGGCCUAACACAUGCAAGUCGAGCGGAUGACGGGAGCUUGCUCCUUGAUUCAGCGGCGGACGGGUGAGUAAUGCCUAGGAAUCUGCCUGGUAGUGGGGGACAACGUUUCGAAAGGAACGCUAAUACCGCAUACGUCCUACGGGAGAAAGCAGGGGACCUUCGGGCCUUGCGCUAUCAGAUGAGCCUAGGUCGGAUUAGCUAGUUGGUGGGGUAAUGGCUCACCAAGGCGACGAUCCGUAACUGGUCUGAGAGGAUGAUCAGUCACACUGGAACUGAGACACGGUCCAGACUCCUACGGGAGGCAGCAGUGGGGAAUAUUGGACAAUGGGCGAAAGCCUGAUCCAGCCAUGCCGCGUGUGUGAAGAAGGUCUUCGGAUUGUAAAGCACUUUAAGUUGGGAG
rnacentral:rRNA from 1 species